AUAAAUCGAUUGGAAUUCACUAAAUAUUACUAGAAUCGCAAACUGAUCGAUCUCUUUGUGAUGGGAAAGGCAAAAAUUCUCAAAAUAAUGUUGACAUGAGGUGAUCAACUUUGCUUCACCACAUGCUUUCUACCUUGAUGUUUGCCCUCACCUCAGGCUCAAAGUAACGGGACCAAAUUACCAUGGGCUGCAUCCUCUGAAACUAUGAGCCAAUAUAAAUCUUUCCUACUUUACACUGAUUUUCUCAGGAACUGCACCUUCCUACUUCUGAUACAAAGAUUAAUUCUGAAAGGCCCACCAGUCUCCUGGUUUAGCGAGUGACACAAAAUUGACAAGUCAAAAUGCCCCAAGCCUCAUUCUGCUGAGACUGGUCCCAGAUAUGGACACCUGGUUCCUCUUUGAGCUUUGUUAUAUGAACAUAGAGUCUUUCAUUUUCUAGAACAGCAAGCACUAGGAAAUAUAUAAAGCUGUAAGUAAGUAGCUUUAGAUUUUACUCUCAGGCCAGUUAUCACCAAAAACCUGAGCUGAGGGUUAGGGAUAGAAUUGAAAAUAGACAUUAAAAAAUGAUAGACAUAGAAAAG